rnacentral:rRNA from 1 species
UACAGAGGGGGCAAGCGUUGCUCGGAAUCACUGGGCGUAAAGGGUGCGUAGGCGGGUCUUUAAGUCCGGGGUGAAAUCCUGGAGCUCAACUCCAGAACUGCCUUUGAUACUGAGGAUCUUGAGUUCGGGAGAGGUGAGUGGAACUGCGAGUGUAGAGGUGAAAUUCGUAGAUAUUCGCAAGAACACCAGUGGCGAAGGCGGCUCACUGGCCCGAUACUGACGCUGAGGCACGAAAGCGUGGGGAGCAAACAGG